AAAGUCGUAACAAGGUCUCCGUUGGUGAACCAGCGGAGGGAUCAUUAUCGAGUUACAAAACUCCCAACCCUAUGUGAACUUACCUUUACUGUUGCCUCGGUAGGCGUCCCCGGGGAGGGGACAUCGCCGUCAAGGCGCCUGCCGAUGGACUAAACUCUUAAACUUUUAGCGAUUAUUCUGAGUCACUAUAAAAAUGAGAUAAAAACUUUCAGCAACGGAUCUCUUGGUUCUG
rnacentral:misc_RNA from 1 species